rnacentral:rRNA from 1 species
GACGAACGCUGGCGGCGUGCCUAAUACAUGCAAGUAGAACGCACAGUUUAUACCGUAGCUUGCUACACCAUAGACUGUGAGUUGCGAACGGGUGAGUAACGCGUAGGUAACCUGCCUGGUAGCGGGGGAUAACUAUUGGAAACGAUAGCUAAUACCGCAUAAUAUUGAUUAUUGCAUGAUAAUUAAUUGAAAGGUGCAAUUGCACCACUACCAGAUGGACCUGCGUUGUAUUAGCUAGUAGGUGAGGUAACGGCUCACCUAGGCGACGAUACAUAGCCGACCUGAGAGGGUGAUCGGCCACACUGGGACUGAGAUACGGCCCAGACUCCUACGGGAGGCAGCAGUAGGGAAUCUUCGGCAAUGGACGAAAGUCUGACCGAGCAACGCCGCGUGAGUGAAGAAGGUUUUCGGAUCGUAAAGCUCUGUUGUAAGAGAAGAACGGGUGUGAGAGUGGAAAGUUCACACUGUGACGGUAUCUUACCAGAAAGGGACGGCUAACUACGUG